UCCAUUCAUAAGAUGUAGGAUUUCUUUGUUUGUAAUGACUUAGCUUUGUUAACUGUCCUUGAAAACGAUCUCCAAUCCUCUCUGGAAACAAGAAGAAUUGUGGUACUUGAACUUGGAAUGUUGGGUGGAGUUGAUGUGAAGGACCCUGUAAGGACAAUAUUGAAGCAGGCAGUGACUUUGCAAAAGCAGUGAACCAGAGAGGUGUAAACAGGAAAACAUCGUUCCAAAGUUUGGAGCUUAAAAAAGUUGUGAUUGAGGCUGUAAGACGAAAUCUACCAUGUCCACAAAUAACAGAAUUGGAGGUAGAAAAAGUCAUAACACGAUGGGUUAAUCUAGCUGAUGGCUUAAGCAAUGUGGCAGAAAGAAAAUAACACCUUUACAAGCUAUUAAUGCACACACAUUCAGUAUGUCAAAACUAAAAAUUUUUACAUUUUACAACUUAAUUUUAACUAUAUUGUUUUUUGCAACUUAUUGCAUACUUACACAUCUGUGUGUGUAUAUGUAUGUGUAUGUAUAUAUCUAUAUAUAUAUAGUAUUGGUUUCUGUUAUUUCUGCAACUCAAUUGUUUAUGCACUACAACUUUAAAAAUGUAAUAAUAAAAUAUGUAUUGUUUGAAACGUUUUAAUUGAUUACUUGGUUUCUAUUGUCUUUCUAGCUUGUUCUUGUUUAUAUAUUUUGUAACAACUGUCUGUUGCUUUUUGUUUGUAUUUUCUUUCUGUAUCUUAUUUAUCUUGCACAUAUUUUCACAUUCUUUUUAAUUUACGAUUACAUUUUAGUUUACGUUCCAAGUAUUUUAGUUCUCUGUCUGAUAUUCAGUUUGUUUUACUUGUUGUCAACAUCAAGAAAGCUUUUUUGAAUUUGCAUCUGCUUAGUUUCCUUUUUUUAUUUUAUUCAAUUUUAUACAUUUCAGAUUAUGUAAAUAUUAUAUAGCAGUUGUAAAGGCUGUUGUCUGGCUCACUUUUGGGGAUUCUGGAAUAAUAUCGAUCCAGUUAUGGUUGGCUUCUUGGGCUACAGGAUAAGUUCUGGGUAGUGAUUUCUGGGCAGAAAUUGCACCUACUGUGUUCAGUAAGGGCUCUCUACUUAUGUCCACCACUCCGGCCAGUGGCAUUCAUCGGAGCAGUUGCUGGUCUGCUUUGGCGGCAACAGUACAGGUGAUGCUGUGUCAAAACAGAGCAUCUACAACUGGAUAAUGGAGACAAUCUCUAUCGCCUAUGAAGUGUGCGGCCUUGCUAUGCCUCUGGGCAUAAGGGCUCAUUCCACUGGGGGGGGGGUCUUGAAGGCUUUAUCCAAAGGGGUACCCUUACAGGAUGUGUGUGCUGUAGCGGGGUGGUGUACGCCGAUCACAUUCGUUUGAUAUUACAGUUUGAUAUUUCAGUUGUGAGUAUACUCGUUCCCACAGAGUGAAGCUCACACAGCAUUGAGUUCCCUUUGAAAGGGAACGUUUGGGUUACGCAUGUAACCCUGUUCCAUGAGAAGGGAACGACACGUUGCAUAGCUUUGUCAUACUGGGACAUGCCUGUGAAUCACAUCUUCACUUCAGAUAAUAGAGGCUAAUGACUUGGUAUACAGGUGCCGUUUUAUAAUCAGGCAAAGCAUGAAAUGUCACGUCACAACAGGCCUAUAAAUAGCCAUGAUUUCAAACAGACUUCGGAUAUUGGUCAUGUGCGAAGGCGCUUCCCACAGCAUGAAGUUCAUGCAAUGUUUGUUCCCUUCUCAGGGAACAGGGUUACAUGCGUAAUCCAGAUGUUUUGAAUCAUUUGAUUUUUAAGUUAUAUUGUGAUGUUGCACAGGGGUGUACUCACUUCUGUUGCAUACUGUAUAUGUUUGAGUAUGUACUGGAAGUGUAUUGUACUGGAUUGAUAUGCCAUACUGAUACAAUUCCUCACUUCUAAUCCUGAUUUACAGUUCAAAAAUAGGUUCAAUACAAGAUUUAGACAGGCUAAUGUAGUGGAAGCUGAAGAAAAAGAUGUAUGAACAUGUAAUCUGACCUUAUCUCUGUCUGUUCUGUUAACAGAUGCUGUUCUUCAUGGCCAUCAGAUGCAAGUGUAAUAAUGAGCAGUUCAGCCAGAAAAAGGAACAUAAUGUAUAGUUUGUGUUUGUGUAUAGAGGGUAUGGGCAGUACGCCGGUAUGGGCAUCGGUGCAAUGUUUUGUUUUGUUUUUUAAAUCUUUCAGUCUUCUUUUAAUAAAAAACAUGGUCAGUUCAUUUUGUUCAGAUUUAUAAUGCUGAAACCAUGUGAAGUUUAAAUAAAAACCAUUGAACUUGUUAUUGUCUUCAUAUAUCUGUCUUCAUUUGUGAUGUUGAUGCAGGUUAUUUAUUUUAAUAGUCUUGAAA